GGGGCUGUGGCUCACUGGUAAAGCAUCUGCUUUGCAUGCAGAAUGUCCCAGGUUUAUUCCUUAGCAUCUCCA
rnacentral:tRNA from 1 species